UGAAUACGAGACGCUAAGGCGUCGAAGUAGUGUAUGUCAUACUUCCAAGAAAAGCUUGCACUGUCAUAGAUAAAAAACGCCUGUACCAUAACCGACACAGGUGGGUAGGUAGAGUAUACUAAGGGGCGCGAGAUAACUCUCUCUAAGGAACUCGGCAAAAUAACUCCGUAACUUCGGGAGAAGGAGUGCCUUAUUAUUAAGGCUGCAAUAACAAGAUCCAAGCAACUGUUUAUCAAAAACACAGGUCUCCGCUAAGUCGUAAGACGAUGUAUGGGGGCUGACGCCUGCCCAGUGCCAGAAGGUUAAAGAAGUUGGUUAGCAUUUGCGAAGCUGAUAACUGAAGCCCUGGUGAACGGCGGCCGUAACGAUAACGGUCCUAAGGUAGCGAAAUUCCUUGUCGGGUAAGUUCCGACCCGCACGAAAGGCGUAAUGAUUUGGAUACUGUCUCGGAGAGGGGCUCGGUGAAAUAGACUUGUCUGUGAAGAUGCGGACUACCUGCACCAGGACAGAAAGACCCUAUGAAGCUUUACUGUAACUUGAAAUUGAAAUUGGACUUUAUUCGCGCAGCAUAGGUGGGAGGCGUUGAUUAUAAUCUUGUGGGAUUAUUGGAGCCAUCAGUGAGAUACCACUCUUGUAAUGUUAGAUUUCUAACUUUGAAUCAUUAUCUGGUCAAAGAACAGUUUCAGGCGGGCAGUUUGACUGGGGCGGUCGCCUCCUAAACGGUAACGGAGGCGUACAAAGGUUUCCUCUGAACGGUUAGAAAUCGUAUCUAGAGUGUAAAGGCAUAAGGAAGCUUGACUGUGAGACCUACAAGUCGAGCAGGGACGAAAGUCGGUCUUAGUGAUCUGACGGUACUGAGUGGAAAGGCCGUCACUCAACGGAUAAAAGUUACUCUAAGGAUAACAGGCCGAUCUCCCCCAAGAGUUCACAUCGACGGGGAGGUUUGGCACCUCGAUGUCGGCUCAUCGCAUCCUGGGGCGGUAGUACGUCCCAAGGGUUGGGCUGUUCGCCCAUGAAAGCGGUACGCGAGCUGGGUUCAGAACGUCGUGAGACAGUUCGGUCCAUAUCCGGUGUAGGCGUUAGAAUAUUGAGAGGAGCCUUCUUUAGUACGAGAGGACCGAGAAGGACAUACCUCUGGUGUACCAGUUAUCGUGCCAACGGUAAACGCUGGGUAGCUAUGUAUGGAGUGGAUAACCGCUGAAAGCAUCUAAGUGGGAAGCCCACCUCAAGAUAAGUAUUCU
rnacentral:rRNA from 1 species